rnacentral:lncRNA from 1 species
UGGCUUGGGUACUCCGGCUCAGCUCAGCUGGGGAGUCCCCUUACCCAGCCCGCACAGGCACCCCGAAGCUUCAAAGUUGCGGCAAACAGUUGCGGGGAGCAGAGGAGCUGAGGUCGAGGCCAGCGCGCCCGCGGCCGCUAGCCCUGGGGAGAGGGCUGAGCCGAGGGUCGUGCGGGUGCGUGGCAUAGGCGGGAGGAGGCGGAGGAGAGGGGGAGAAGGAGGGGCCGGCGGGGAGCAGCUGCCGGGGGAGGCGAGGCGCAAGGUGGCUCCCCGCGGCCCCGCGCCCCGCGGCUCCCGGACGCACCAGGCAGCCAAUGGCUGUGCAGAGGUGUACAGCAGAUGGCGUCCGACUGCGCCGUUCCUUCUUCCUCCUCCUCCUUCUCUUCCUCCUCCUCCUCCUCCUCCUCCUCCAGUGCUGAGGAGCCAGAGUCGCCGCCGGGUUGCCAGACGCUGGAAUGGGUGGUCUCCCGAUACACACCACCAUCUUUCUUGCGCUCGGGAAGCUUGGGGCUCGGCGGCUCCCAGAGGCUACGGCGGCGGCUCUGGCGAGACGGGAAUAGGCAAGUCAAGAGGCUGAAAAAUCUGAAGCAUGUUUCCAAAGAGCAACCUGACAGUCACUUGCUGGGUAUGGAGUGGCAUGAGGAAGCUCUUUCUAUUGCUUUCUCUCUUGCUGUCCCAUGCAGCUCAUUUGGAAUGCAAAAAGGAUAACCAGUUCAUCUGGAAACCAGGGAUACUGAAGAAAGACUGUUGGCCCAUAGUUGUGCAUGGCAUUCUCUCGAUGUGGAAGAAAGGACCAAACCAAAGAAAGGACCUCCUUUGCUUCAACUCAGAUUCUUUUGUGUUUUAGGCAGGUGGUGCGGAGAGAUACACAUAGGUUGUAAUUGUGAUAAAGGCUCCCACGUUUGGUGGCUAGAUACUGAAAGUACUUUUAAACAACUGCCUGUUUAGGUGAUUGAAAGACUUCUACCAUUGACUUGGUUCUCUG